rnacentral:piRNA from 1 species
UGCACUGCUGUUGGACAAAUUUCCAGAAUC